CACAAGCCCCUUCCCCUCCCUCCUCUCUUGUCAACAAGCGCCAUCGUUCCCUACCUACGCCAUUCGACGUAGCCACUGUUCACCACACACACAGCCGUCGUUUAAUGCCUUUCUACCACCGCCAGUCGUUGAACGAAGAGCUUGUUGAACACGUCAAAUGUUGGACGUUGCUGCCGUAACCUUCUUUUGCACUACUUGAUUUUGUUUCCUUUUUGAAAUCACUUUGAAAAGACCCCUCGCUACUUUCAUUUACCGGCUGAGACAAAGAUUGUUGUUCAGUAAGCUAUAGUUGGAUGUAUCCUAUAGAGAGAAGCUUGCGAACAUUAAAACAAUAUGUAUGGAACAAAGCUUACCCUGAAGGUUCCAUAGCAAAAGCAUUCAUUAUGAAUGAAUGUUUGACCUCCUCCUUGAUGUAUCUAACAGGAAUAGAGACAAGAUUCAAUAGGAAUCCACAGAAUGAUGACUCAAUGAAAAGACAACUUAGUUGUGGGGACUUUGAUGUAUUUAACAGAAUGUGCAACUAAUUGGGGGGGUCAGUUGUGAGGACGCUAUCUAAAGAUGAGAAGAGAAUGUGCCAUUGGUAUGUUCUGAACAAUUGUUGUUGAAUUGAAUCGUAU